GUGGGGAAUAUUGGACAAUGGGCGCAAGCCUGAUCCAGCCAUGCCGCGUGAGUGAUGAAGGCCUUAGGGUUGUAAAGCUCUUUCAGUGGGGACGAUAAUGACGGUACCCACAGAAGAAGCCCCGGCUAACUUCGUGCCAGCAGCCGCGGUAAUACGAAGGGGGCUAGCGUUGUUCGGAUUUACUGGGCGUAAAGCGCACGUAGGUGGAUCGUUAAGUCGGGGGUGAAAUCCUGGAGCUCAACUCCAGAACUGCCUUCGAUACUGGCGAUCUUGAGUCCGGAAGAGGUGAGUGGAACUCCUAGUGUAGAGGUGGAAUUCGUAGAUAUUAGGAAGAACACCAGUGGCGAAGGCGGCUCACUGGUCCGGUACUGACGCUGAGGUGCGAAAGCGUGGGGAGCAAACAGGAUUAGAUACCCUAGUAGUCC
rnacentral:rRNA from 1 species